UGAGUGCAGUAAAAUCUUUCC
rnacentral:piRNA from 1 species